AAGCACCAAAACAGCUUCACUCCAACAACACCCAAAAAUCAAAGUCUGAGAGGAUUCACGUCAUCCGGGAGGUUCAUCACAGCGGAGAG